rnacentral:rRNA from 1 species
GACGAACGCUGGCGGCGUGCUUAACACAUGCAAGUCGAACGGAAAGGCCCCUUUGGGGGUACUCGAGUGGCGAACGGGUGAGUAACACGUGCGUAACCUGCCCUCGACUUCGGGAUAACUUCAGGAAACUGGGGCUAAUACCGGAUAGGAAUCCUUGCUGCAUGGUGGGGGUUGGAAAGCUUCGGCGGUUUUGGAUGGACUCGCGGCUUAUCAGCUUGUUGGUGGGGUAGUGGCUUACCAAGGCUUUGACGGGUAGCCGGCCUGAGAGGGCGACCGGCCACAUUGGGACUGAGAUACGGCCCAGACUCCUACGGGAGGCAGCAGUGGGGAAUAUUGCACAAUGGGCGGAAGCCUGAUGCAGCAACGCCGCGUGCGGGAUGACGGCCUUCGGGUUGUAAACCGCUUUCAGCAGGGGCGAAGCUUGUGGUGACGGUACCUGCAGAAGAAGCACCGGCUAACUACGUG